GCACCAGUGGGGAAUAUUGGGCAAUGGACGCAAGUCUGACCCAGCGACGCCGCGUGCGGGAUGAAGGCCUUCGGGUUGUAAACCGCUUUCAGCAGGGAAGAAGCGAAAGUGACGGUACCUGCAAAAGAAGCACCGGCUAACUAUGUGCCAGCAGCCGCGGUAAUACAUAGGGUGCAAGCGUUGUCCGGAAUUAUUGGGCGUAAAGAGCUCGUAGGUGGUUCGUCACGUCGGAUGUGAAAAUCUGGGGCUCAACCCCAGACCUGCAUUCGAUACGAGCGAGCUAGAGUUUGGUAGGGGAGACUGGAAUUCCUGGUGUAGCGGUGGAAUGCGCAGAUAUCAGGAGGAACACCAAUGGCGAAGGCAGGUCUCUGGGCCAAUACUGACACUGAGGAGCGAGAGCGUGGGGAGCGAACAGGAUUA
rnacentral:rRNA from 1 species